AAGGAUCAUUACAGUGUUAUCACAACAUCGGCCGCGGGAGGGGGGUUUAAGAUGCUGGCCCGAAAGAGGGCAUGUCGUGACUCGCCCCCCUUCCGUUUCCGUUGCUUGCGCAUAUAUAUCCACACCCGUGAACCUUAAUGGGAGGGUUUGCCCCCUCCCUUUUUUCAAAACCAAAGCCUGUUGAAACGCAUGUCUUGAAGCCCCCACGGGGGUGAGUAAAAAAGUUUAAUACAACUUUCAACAACGGAUCUCUUGGCUUUCGCAUCGAUGAAGGACGCCGCGAAAGUGCGAAACGUAAUGUGAAUUGCAGAAUUCAGUGAAUCAUCGAAUCUUUGAACGCAUCUUGCGCUCCUUGGCAUUCCGAGGAGCAUGCCUGUUUGAGUGUCGUGAAGCCAUCCCUCGACCCGACUCCUUGGUAGAGUCUGGGUUGGAUUUGGACGUCUGCGGGGGUCCUCUCGCUCGUCUUUAAAUGCAUCAGCUGGCCCCUCACUUCGGGUCGGACCGAUCGACGGUGUGAUAAUAACAAAUCGAACGCCGUUUUGGCCCGACUUUUGCGUGGGGUCGCUUCUAACCCCGGUUCCCCUCGUUUUGGGACCGAUUCGACCAUUUGACCUCAAAUCAGGUAGGACUACCCGCUGAACUUAA
rnacentral:rRNA from 1 species